AUGGAAAAACUGCAGCUGAUGGCCAAGCAUGCUAUAGACUACAGCGUGUUUGGGGGGCCUCAAAACUUUGGAAAGUGGAUGGACGUGCACUCAGCUCCGUCUUGCCCUACUGAGGCGAGGGCACCUGUUGAGCAUCUAAUUGGGCAGUUUGCAUCCGGAAUGACCGGCUUGCUCGGGAAGUUGGUUGAGGGGUGGACGUCUCUAAGUGGCUCUGACAGCGACACGGUUGCGAGGCAGUUCACUUCAUUUGUCCCAGAACGUACACGUCGGCCAACCAGUUGCCGUGGCCGGUAUGACUACAACAGCUCCCAAGAGCCUGGUGACACACAAGAUGAACUAGAUGGAGACGCUGGUCUCAGCAAGGAUGACGACGAUGACAUGGAGAAUGUGCAAUAG
rnacentral:rRNA from 1 species